rnacentral:sRNA from 1 species
UCCACUCUCAACCCCUGUGCACAUCUGAGGAGAACGUGUGAGGUCUCCCCUUUACUGGGAGCAGCUCUCGACCACGCAUAUAGCGAGGUCUUGCGCCGGGACCCGCGUCCUCUUCUAUUUAACUACACACACCAUGUAAUGCGAUAGAACGUGAUAGGGCCUCUGUGCCUUUAAAUUAAGACGACUUUCAACAACGGAUCUCUUGGCUCUCGCAUCGAUGAAGAACGCAGCGAAAUGCGAUAAGUAAUGUGAAUUGCAGAAUUCAGUGAAUCAUCGAAUCUUUGAACGCACCUUGCGCUCCUUGGUAUUCCGAGGAGCAUGCCUGUUUGAGUGUCGUGAAAUUCUCAACCCUUGCGUCUUUGUUGCUCGCUCGGGCUUGGACUUGGGGGUGUCUUGCUGGCCGCUCGCGCGGUCGGCUCCCCUGGAAUGUAUUAGCUGGGUUUCUCCGACUCGGGGUGGUUCACGGUGUGAUACUUUUUUGUUGACGCCUUGUAUCUCGAGUCUGGCUUGGCUUACAAUCAAGUCUUCAUUGGCUUACUCUCACGAUCUGACCUCAAAUCAGGUAGGACUACCCGCUGAACUUAAGCAUAUCAAUAAGCGGAGGA